rnacentral:lncRNA from 1 species
AGUUAACCCUCCUCCAACGACUUUUUCAGCGAGACUUUUUUAACAAAUCUUGUAACCCGUUCCAGCUGUUGGUUCCCACUAUCGGUCUAAGCUCUUGUAACUGUGAAGAAAACCUUAAAAGGAAAAGAUCCACAGUAUGAAUCUUCAUGCUAGUUGAGUUGAGUAAUUCCCUCCACUACACGAAAUGAAUCACGAGUUGAGGAGAUUAUCAUCUUUGUUGAAAUUGAGCUCACGAACCAGACAAGCAGUGAUCCAGGUCACCGCAUUCGACACCAUCUGGAUCCAUGUUAACGGUGUAAACAUGUGAAAUAUACAUGCAAACAAACCUUAAAUCCACAACAUCAAGAAGAGCAAGACCAGAUCAAGGUCUCACAGACACACAACCUCACUCUACUAGAACGUCUGGUAACUAAAUAUAAUGGCCAAAUUCAUUUAUCGCUUCCGACUCCGAGGAUCCACUGUGCAAGAUGAGUUAAAUAUGGUUCCGCUUGCGAAUUGCUACUCAAACCUUAAAUCCACAACAUCAAGAAGAGCAAGAACAGAUCAAGGUCUCACAGACACACAACCUCACUCUACUUGAACGUCUGGUAACUAAAUAUAAUGGCCAAAUUCAUUUAUCGCUUCCGACUCCGAGGAUCCACUGUGCAAGAUGAGUUAAAUAUGGUUCAGCUUGCGAAUUGCUACUCAAGAUCGGUCCCAAACUCUGAAGUUCGGAAUUGAACUCCUUCUCGAAUUUC